AGAGUUUGAUCCUGGCUCAGAACGAACGCUGGCGGCGUGCCUAAUACAUGCAAGUCGAACGAGAAAGUGGCUUCGGUCAUGAGUAAAGUGGCAGACGGGUGAGUAAUACAUAGGUAACCUACCUCCAAGAUGGGGAUAACCUUCCGAAAGGAGGGCUAAUACCGAAUGAGACCACGGUUGCACAUGCAACAGGGGUUGAA
rnacentral:rRNA from 1 species